UGAUGUAGCUCAGUUGGUAGAGCAACGGAUUUGUAAUCCGUCGGUCGGGAGUUCAAAUCUCUUCAUCA
rnacentral:tRNA from 1 species